rnacentral:lncRNA from 1 species
AUGUCAUAUAGCACUUACAUAUCACAAGAAUAACAAUGUUAAAUUACUUGUAACUUCCAUGUUAUAUUGCCGCUAUAAAAUGUGUUCACUGGGUGAGUAUUCUCACGCGUCCGCUAUUUUUCUUCAAACUAGUCAAGUAACUAGCAUGAUGUUUUAUAUAUAUAUAUAUAUAUAUAAUACAUGUAUAAUACACAAUAACUUUUACAGUCUCAAGAUCAUAAAUAUCGUGUCUUCGUUUUAUUGUCGCAUAAAGUUUGGCGUUUCCAAAUAUUAUUGACGUAUAUAUGUACAAAACAUACCUAACUUUUUAUGCUAGUUACUUGCUAGUUUGAAGAAAAAUGGCGAACGUGAGAAUACCUACUUUUCUAGUGCUCCAGUAGCAGUGCAGCUAAAAAAACGGGCCUCAAUUCACCACCGUGAAACUCGCCGCGAAUUAACCAUUACCUCGACAGGCGGACUCGACCGCCAGUCAAGACACGUAAUUCCUCUUUCUGUUCUUCCGCGGACACGACAUGCACUGUAUGUCAAUUCUCGUGCGCCUGUCACGUUCAUAACCAUCUUUCGCGCGAAAAGCAAAAGUACAAAUCUCCAUCAUCUGUCCCAGGCGACAACAAUAAUAAUGACACUACGACGACGUUUCUUAAAUAUUUUACUCUUGAUGCGAAACUUUAAAUCGCGUUAUCUUCACUCGUAAGUUACGUAGCAGAAAAAUAAAAACACUUUUGUUAUAUAAAUCGUAUGCAAGCUAUCCAUUAAGAUUAUUUAGAAAUCAAUCGAUUCAGUCGUUAUUGAGAUCCGAUAAUUUACGGAAUCUCGCAACAGCGUUUCGCUUAAAUAGAACUCUUGAUAGAAACACGGCAGUGCUUCGCGCGCGUACACUUGGCGCAAAGCACUACCGUGCACCGUACCUCUUGAUAUCACUUAAUAUAAGAUUUGUAUCACAUAUUCGCAAUAAACAAUAAUUUAAUUGUUGGUAAGGACUUUUAUAUAAAAUGUUAUAGACGGUUAAUAAUGUUCUUAACAUUAAAGUUGAUUGCCAUGCACGAACUUCCCUUUAUCGUAAAACCUACAUACAACUUUAUAGAAUUUGUAUGAGGUAGUUUAUAAUAAAGAAUGAUUUAAUCAUUAAUAAGAUUUUUUAUAUAUAAUAUAGUGGACAGUACAUCACGUUUUUCAUAUCAACCUUUAUUAUUGACCAUAAACUCGCAUUUAUCGUAAGACGCGAUUACAACUUAAUAUGAUUUUUAUGAGAUACUUGCAAUAAACAAUAAUUUAAUCGUUGGUAAGGGCUUUUAUGUAAAAUGUUAUAGACGGUCAAUAAUGUUUUUCACAUUAAACUUGAUUGCUAUGCACAAACUUCCCUUUAUCGUAAAACCCACUUUAUAGGAUUUGUAUGAGGUAGUUUAUAAUAAAGAAUGAUUUAAUCAUUAAUAAGAUUUUUCAUGUGUAUUAUAGUGGACAGUAUAUCACGUUUUUCAUAUCAACCUUCAUUGUUGAGGCCAAAUUCGCCUUUAUCGUAAGAAACGAAUAGAACUUAAUAGGAUUUGUAUGACAUAGUCUCCAUAAACUAUGAUGUAAUUUUCAAAGUGGAUUUUCAUAUAUUAUACAAUAUGAUAAUCAGUAAAUUAUGUUUUCAAUAUUAACCUUAAUUACUGAGUACGAAAUUUCCUUUAUUAUAAAUCCCGAAUGCAACCUGAUAGGUUGUGUAUGGUAUAGUCGUGAUAAACAAUCAGAUAAUCAUGAUAGAAUUACAAAACUGGUCAAACAUGAUUGAACAUGAUAGAAAUUCUAUCAUUGCUCGAAAAGCUCUUGAUAGAACUGGAUACAGCUAUAUAAGUUAUUAUUGAUUUUGAAUAAUGUUUUAUACAGUUGUAUCUUUUUUCUUGAACAGGGUUAAGAUGCUAAUACGAUUCUGUUGUGAUUGGCUGCUGGCAUCUUAAGAUAGUACUUAAAAUAAUCUUAAAUAUAAGAUCUGACUAUGAAUAUCAGCCAAAGACGUAUAGAUGAUCCUUGGAGAUCCAUAUAAACAUAUCACCGACAUUGCAGCCUCUGACCAUGUCAUCGGCAGGCCAGCUGGGUGACAUAGUUUGUAUUGUUUCAGACAAGAUUUCAUGCUUUUUACCUAUUUCAAUACAUUGCAAAAAAAUAAACCAUUCAUUUUAUUUUAUCUUUUUUUUUCAACUACGUUAUAUUUGGUACCUUUGAGUAAAUAUAUUCUGUUGGCUACACUGUUAUUUCCGACCUUUGAUUCUAAUUAUCUAUAUGUAUAAGUACCGGGAGUCUGUAUGUCCGGAUGUUCCCCAACUCCUUCGUCAUUUGUGGCCCGAUUCCAACGCAAAAGGUCUCAUUUUGUUCCAAAUUGUGUGAGGAUUGCUCUUAUGGGUUUGGUUUUUUGAUAUACAGGAUUUUUCAAAAAUUUUUUUUAUAAAAACCGGGCGUCCGUGUGUCCGUAUUUUUUUAAUUUUCGCGCACUCUUUCGUCAUUUGUGGCCCGAUUCUAAUGCAAAAGGUCUCAUUUUAUUCCAAAUUUUACGAGGAUUGCUACUAUGGGUUUGGAUUUUCAAUAUACAGGGUCUUUCAAAAAUUUUCUUUAUAAAAAUCGUAAGUUUGUUGGUUCGUAUUUUAUGUGUUCGCGAACUCCUUCGUCAUUUGUGGCCUGAAUCUUUUGAAAAAGGUCUCAUUUUAUUCAUGUUUACUUAAAGGAAAUUAAAAGGUAAAAAAAUUCGUAUUUGUAUAAUAAGAAUCAUAGAAUGAAAAAAGUUAUUAAAAUAGGUGUGAAACACAUUUUUAUUCAUUAAAAAAAUAAAAGCUUUUGCUACAAUUAGGAAAAUUAUUAGGAACGAUUGAUAAUUACGAUUAAUUACGAAAUUAGUAUUUAAAGAAAAAAAAAACCCAAAAAAGACAAUUAGAAUAUUUUUUAAUAUUUAUAAAUUUAUUUAUACAAUAAAUUUUUUAAAAUAUAAUAUAAAUAUAUAUUUGCAUUUUAGCAAAAAAUAAAAAGUAUUCUAAUUUAGAAGAUUGUUAGGCAAUUUAAUAAUUACAGAAAGUGGGGAAAUUUUUAUAAAUAUAUAAUAAAUAUAUAAAAAAUAUAUAUAAAAAAA